AUGGCGGCGGCGGUAGCGACGGCCGGCAGCCAGGAGGACAUGCUCGGCAAGCUGCCUGACGACAUUCUUCUCUGGAUCCUAAUCCGUCUUGAUUCACAAGACGUCGUAAGCUGCAGUCGCGCAAGCAGACGGUUGAGGCACCUCCCCGGUUUGCCUCCUAUUAUUUCCCUGAGCGUGAAGGACUACAUGUACGGCCGCUACGUGCAGCACAAGGACGACGACGGGUUUGAGGCGGUUUUGUCGAUAAAGUGCAGGAACAACAAGGCUUGGAGCACCACGGCCAUGGUGCAAUCCGUCAGGAGCAUCUUGGCAGGCAAGAACCAGCUUGGGUGCGCCGCCAUCCAUCAGCUCCACCUGACCUUCUACCUGAGGGACGAGUCCAUCGACAUCGUCCGCGCCGUCGAGGGAGCCAUCGCGCGCGGCCGCGGCAUCGUCGGCAGGGCGGGGUUCACGAUGCUGGGCGAGAAGAUCACCUACACGAGCGAGGUGACGGACCUGGUCGCGCAGGGAGCGCGCCUCCUCUCCUACCUCGGCGCCUGCCCGCGCGCGUUCGCCGCGCUCACACACCUGCACGUGGAGAGCGUCAAGCUGAGGCAGCCCGACGUGUCCAACCUGCUCGACCGCUGCAAGAAGCUGAAGCACCUGUCUCUGCAGAACCUUGAUUGUGGGAAAGAGGUGGUGCUGAGGAUCCAACACCCGGAGCUCACCCAGCUGAAGCUUGUCAUGUGCUUCUGUGACAGCUUCGAGCUCAAGUGGCUUCCGGAGCUAGAGGAGCUCACCAUUGGCACCUGGUGUCCUUCCAAGCGCCGAGACCCGGUGCUGUUCGGCCAUGCUCCGCGGCUUUCCAAGCUAACGGCCUGUAACGGCUAUAAUACCAGGUGCAGGAAACUCAAGCUGAGCGAGUUUCUUCGCGACGCAAACAUGCGUGAGCUGCAUAUGAACUUCGACACCGAAAUGCCAUGGUUUCAGAUGGAGCGACCAGAGCAACUGGCUCCUCGGCUGAAAAACCUGAGGAUUCUGAAGCUCGACAACAUCAAUGAAGAAUGCAGCGUCACUUGGACACUGUUCCUGCUGGAAGCUGCGCCUCUCUUGGAGAAGCUCCACAUCAAGGUGUCGAACCACGAGUGUGAAUCCUUUGAGGAUGAGAUGCUAAGGAAACUUCUGGUCGUCGCGACAAGUAACAUCGAGUUCGAACCAUCUGACUUCAAGCAUUAUAAGCUGGCCGUGCUCACCAUCUACGGCUUUCAGCCCGGCGAUAUGUUCAUGCAGUAUAUGAGACGGGUGAUGGAAGCGGCUGUCAAUUUGGAAGAGAUAUCUCUGCAUGACCACUGGUGCGAAGAGUGCGACUUUUAUCCAUUGACAAGGUAUCCCAAGACCGACCAAGACAGAGAAUUGAUACGGGAGGAGAUCAAUAGAGGGAGGCCGUCCCCUAUGAGGACCAUCCAAGUUUUAUUCAGUGAUAACAAGUAUAGAACCGAUGAUUGA
rnacentral:rRNA from 1 species